rnacentral:lncRNA from 1 species
CUAUAUUCUAGAAAGGAAUGGGACAUCUGGGUUUCACUUGGUUUCAAAGAACCUCACUAACAUGUUGAAGGGAAAUCAUCCACAUACCCGCUGAGGUGGUAUCAACCUCAACCUGUCUCCUAGCAGAGGAGACAAUAUGAGCAAAGCAUUGUUUGGAGAAAAUCAAGUAGCUUGAUGUUAUUGCAACAGAAAAUAUGAGGCUGAAAAUAGUGUGAAUUAAAACCCUAGAUUUGGACCAGAAUGAAACCACAGAGGGCUUUGUGGGAUGUUGAGGAGCUUGAACUCAAUCCU